rnacentral:ncRNA from 3 species
ACCAACACAAAGGGGAGCCGAUAUCUGGCUGAGAGUGAAGAAAUUCAGACCCUUGGAACCUGUUUGUUAAUGCAAACGUAGGAAUUGUGUGUAGAAGAUUA